CCCUCGAUAGCUCAGUUGACAGAGCGGAGGACUGUAGAUGUUACAACGGUGAUCCUUAGGUCGCUGGUUCAAAUCCGGCUAGAGGGA
rnacentral:tRNA from 1 species